UCCUGUUUAAAAGAAAGGAAAAACAGAGGACGAAGUCGACGAGAAACUUGCCGUUAUCAAGUAUCAUUAUGAAGUUUGUCAAACAAAUUAAAGGCUGAAAGGAGUUUUAAGUGAAGCAAAAUCAAAAUUCAUUUUUGGGAAUUCCAAUCUACAUGCAUAAAAUCAACUAAGAGAUUAAGUAUACUGCAAAAGUAUAAAGAUGUCACUGAGAAAAAUAUAGCUGAUGAAAACGCCCUCUACCUGAAGUCUGCGGCAGAAAAAACUUGGGGUUGUUGAAGAAAGUUGACAUGCAAAAAGGAAAAAAGAGACAAAGAUAUCGAAUGAAUUUAUAAAAUAAAUCUUGUAUCAAAAGAAAU